GAUGAACGCUAGCUACAGGCUUAACACAUGCAAGUCGAGGGACCGGCGCACGGGUGAGUAACACGUAUCCAACCUGCCCUUUACUCGGGGAUAGCCUUUCGAAAGAAAGAUUAAUACCCGAUGUAAAGGAUGGGGAUGCGUUCCAUUAGGUUGUUGGUGAGGUAACGGCUCACCAAGCCUUCGAUGGAUAGGGGUUCUGAGAGGAAGGUACCCCACAUUGGAACGGAAACACGGUCCAAAAUGCUACGGGAGGGAGCAGUGAGGAAGAGUGGGAAAUGGGCGGUAGCCUGAACCAGCCAAGUAGCGUGAAGGAUGAAGGCGGAGGGGGCGUAAACUUCUUUUAUAUAAGAAUAUGUAUUAUAUGAAUAAGGAUCGGCUAACUCCGUGCCAGCCGCCGCGGUAAUAC
rnacentral:rRNA from 1 species